rnacentral:rRNA from 1 species
AGUGAACGCUGGCGGUAGGCCUAACACAUGCAAGUCGAACGGCAGCACAGUAAGAGCUUGCUCUUACGGGUGGCGAGUGGCGGACGGGUGAGGAAUACAUCGGCAUCUACUUUUUCGUGGGGGAUAGCGUAGGGAAACUUACGCUAAUACCGCAUACGACCUACGGGUGAAAGCAGGGGAUCUUCGGACCUUGCGCGAUUGAAUGAGCCGAUGUCGGUUUAGCUAGUUGGCGGGGUAAAGGCCCACCAAGGCGACGAUCCGUAGCUGGUCUGAGAGGAUGAACAGCCACACUGGAACUGAGACACGGUCCAGACUCCGACGGGAGGCAGCAGUGGGGAAUAUUGGACAAUGGGCGCAAGCCUGAUCCAGCCAUACCGCGUGGGUGAAGAAGGCCUUCGGGUUGUAAGGCCCUUUUGUUGGGAAAGAAAAGCAGCAGGUUAAUACCCCGCUGUUCUGACGGUACCCAAAGAAUAAGCACCGGCUAACUUCGUG